rnacentral:lncRNA from 1 species
GAACGGUGAAAGUGAACUUCCCGGAGGUGCCGAGAGGCGGUGAGAACGAAGUAAUGAGAACCAAAAUCCGUGAUAAUAACCGGAGUUAUGUUGAUAGUCCUCAUAAGGUAUAUGCAGGAAACCUUGGUUGGAAUCUAACCUCACAAGGUUUAAAGGAUGCAUUUGGUGAUCAACCUGGUGUGCUUGGUGCUAAAGUUAUCUAUGAAAGAAAUACUGGGAGGUCUAGGGGGUUUGGUUUC